GGGCUGAACCAAAAAUAUCUUCACUCUGGAUGCCUCGCUCCUCUAUCUCACACAAAGUUACAAACUACUCUCAGUGCUUCAUUCCCUCUGAGAACCACACACCGUUUUCACAUCUCCAUCUUCUUCUUCUUCUCACAUCUCCAUCAUUCCUUCGUCGUCUUCUUCUUCUUCUUCUCACAUAUACAUCAUUCCAUCUUUUUCAUCGCUUGAAUCUCUUCCAUGUUUUCAUCUCAAUGUUAAUCGCGAUCUGAAUCCUUUUCUCGGACAAGCUAGUGCUGAUUUUGAUUGAAAUUUGAAUCGCGCUCUAGUCAUCAGGGUUUGAAGCCUUAUUCAAAUUGAAUAUAUGUUUGAUGAAGUGAAAAAAGCCUCUGCAUCUUGCAUUCCUUGCUCAAAGCCUUCUUGUUGAUACUGUCUCUGAGUCCUUGCUCUGUUCCUUCUUAUUCAUAACUUCGGCUGCAAGCAUUUUGAUGCCUCAGACUCCCGAGAAGCUCAGGGAGUUGAUGCGUCUAUCUUUUGUUAGGCCUGCUAGGGGCGUCCCUACUUGGUUCCUUGCAGAUUUCAUUCAGGUGAUGUGUACACGUUGCAUUGAUGAGAAGAGAGAAUUACUUGAGGCAAUACUCAAAGGUCGAAAACUUUCUAAUCUUCCCAAGAUCCAACAGAACACGCUUAUCAUAUGGGGAGAGCAGGAUCAGGUAUUCCCUCUGGAGUUUGGGCACAGAUUACAAAGGCAUAUAGGGGAAAGUGCUCAUAUUGUGGUGAUCAAGAAUGCAGGGCAUGCAGUGAACCUAGAGAAGUCUAAAGAGUUUGCCAGGCACUUGAAAUCUUUCCUCGUUGGUCCCAAGGCAUGUUCGUCCUCCCCUCACUUAGUUUCAGUUUUAGAUGGACAAAUCCAGAAAGCCAUUCUUGAUCUCAGUAAGUCAUGCAACUUUCUUCUUUUUUAGCAAAUGGAAUCAUGAUCAUCAAGAUUGCUUGGUUAGACUGGAAUACGAUCCUUACAAUUAUUUGCUCUUGGAAUGAGUAAACAAAAAUCAAAUUGUAAGAAAGAAAUAAUUAGACAUAAAGGAGGCAAAUGUCCAUAUAAUAAAAGACAGCAGAAGUAGGCAGUGCAACUUAAGAAAACCAUAGCACCUGAUGCACUUUAGUUAGCUUUUGUACAGUUGACCAUGUUGAUGGCUGCAACUAGUAACCAGUAACUAAAUCUAUUUAAUAUACUAAAAUUGAGUUUUUUCCCAAUCAAUGAAAGUGAUGUGUCAUUUUUUUGUGAACCCAUUUUUCUUCCAAAAUGAAUACAUUUAAUGAAUAAUACAUAAUUAUACUAAUUUAGGAAAAUAUUUUUAUUAUAAUUAUAUAAAAUUAAUAUUUAAUGUAUUAUUAAAUUACUUAUCAAUUAUAAUAAAAAAUAUUUUUAAUUAUUUUAAUAAAUAAUACAUAAUUAUACUAAUUUAAGAAAAUAUUUUUAUUAUAAUUAUAUAAAAUCAAUAUUUAAUGUAUUAUUAAGCUAAUUAUCAAUCGAAAAUAUUUUUAAACAUUUUAAUUAUAUUCAUUUUAAUUAUAUUGAUAUCCUUCUAAUUCUUAUUCAUUAUCCAAUGAUUUUAUUAGUGGCAAGUUGUUAACCCAUUUUAUUGAUAAUAAUAAUAAUUUUAUUAGGAUAAAUAUCAAAUUCUAUUCCUAAUAUAAAAAUAUAAAAUUUAAUUCCUUACAUUUUUAUUUUACCACUAUAAAAGACCAUGUAUACUAGAAGAAAAUAUCAUUCGUUUACCAAUUACUCUUUCAUUUGAUAGCUUUUACAACAAUUCUUUUUCUUUCUAUGAGGCGUCGUUGCAAGAAGACAACUAUCAUAGACACAAACUACCACACUCUCCAACUUUCGUGCUCAUUAUUUGGAGCUAUAUAACAUAUGUUAUCUAUGAAGUAUUUAUAGACCAUGGUAUUAUCAUGUAUGCAUAAAUAAAAAAUAUUUCGUAUUUAAAUUUAAGUCAUUUACCUGUUUGUGGUAUAUUGUAGUGUAAAAUUACUUUCAAUAUGUGUUGUGUAAUGAUAUUAUAUUUUAAUUUAAGCUUUUACUUUAGAACUGUAUUAUGUAUUAUGAUUUUAUCUCAUCAUUUUUUCUUAGAUAUCAAAUUUUUUCUUAAAUAUCAAGUUGACGUAUUUUUAUUUAUUAUUAUUAUUGAAGCGGAUGUGAUAUGAAAUGUACCAAAAAAAACUCUCACAUUCAAUUUAUUUUAUUGUAGUCUUCUAUCUAUUCUAUUUAUUUUUAUUUUCUUCUUAUUCAUUUUAUUUUUUUUAAAUGUUAUAUAAUUUAUUAUAAUUUAUACCAAUCUCCUUAAUAUACUAAAAUUGGGUUUUCCACCAACUUAUGAUGGUGAGGUGUCAUUUUUUCGUGAAUCCAUUUUUCCUCCAAAUGAUUGCACUAUUUCUCUCUUUUAAAUUUAUUUUUAAAAAUUAUCUUUAAUUGAUAUAAUUAUAUUAUAAUUAGUAUUUAAUGAAUGAUACAUAAUUAUACUAAUUUAAGAUAAUCUCUUUAUUAUAAUUAUACUAAUCUCUUUUAAAUUUAUUUCAGAAAAUUAUCUUAAUUAUAAUUAUAUAAUAAUAUUAUACUUAGCAUUUAAUGAAUAAUUCAUAAUUAUACUGAUUUA